GUAUGUUUGUGUUCGAUCACCUCAGUAGCGGUCACGUAUUCGCAACCCGGUCGCAAACGGAAUCUCCGAGUGUCGCCUCGAGAGUCCGUUCGGUGCGCGAUGCGAGUUUGGCUCUGACGGGGGUCGGCGGUUGUAUGUGUUCGUUUUGUGUCGGGGUCUGUAGAGGCCAUACGUGUGGUUGCCGGAGGGUGACACACGGGAGAUCCGAGGGAUCUGAUCCAUGUGAUGGAUGUCAGCAAUGUGAUUGCUGGUCGGCUUGAGAGCCGGGGCACUAGGUGACUUGCUCGUGGACUCGAGUAAGGGCAUGCUAGGGGCCAUGUGAUGGAAGUCAGCAAUGUGAUUGCUGGUCGGCUAGAGAGCCGGGGCGCACUAGAUGUCUUACUCGGGAGUUUCUAGAGUUGUACUGAGUAGUUUGUAAUUUUUGUUGAUAAGAACGGCUGUGAUGCGUGAACCUAACAGUUUGAUGUUUUUGUAAUUGUGUGUGGAAUGUGGUCAGGAAUGACCGAGCUAUAUGAUACUUUGCGUGUAAUUUUCUGUCACAGAUGAGCUGUCACACGAGGACGUGUGCAAGCAGGAUGGCCGUGUCGGGAUCGAGGGUAGAAUUGAAACACAGGCGUCCACCCUCGGCGCUCGACGGAGUCAAGGAUUCAUCGGCUGAGCGGCGUGUUGAUCACUUCUCGUGCAGCAGCCGACCAGUGCGGUCGAAUAUUGAACCGUCGUGUGUUUCAACUGUAUACCUAGUCUGUAACCUGUUAGUUUGAUAUUGUAACAGUUAAUUAUCUUUCAUGUACUUUGUAACCAUGUUUGCACUUUGAGAGUGACUGAGACCUCUGAGUUUGUUUCGGCAUUUCUUCUCAGAGUAGUCGGUAGGAAAUGCCGGCCCCAUCAGUAGCUUAAGUAAAGUAACAGUGCAAUGUACAGAAUUAAACAAUAGUUCCAUA